CACGUAGGGGGCAAGCGUUGUCCGGAUUUAUUGGGCGUAAAGAGCUCGUAGGCGGUUCGGUAAGUCAGGUGUGAAACCUCCAGGCUCAACCUGGAGACGCCACCUGAUACUGCUGUGACUCGAGUCCGGUAGGGGGAGCGUGGAAUUCCUGGUGUAGCGGUGAAAAUUCGUAGAUAUCGGGAGGAACACCAGUGGCGAAGGCGGCGAUCUGGGCAGACACUGACGCUGAGGUGCGAAAAGCGUGGGGAGCAAACAGGG
rnacentral:rRNA from 1 species